AAUGCCAGCUACACCAGGUUCACCCUGUUCUGUGACACCACCUGGGAGUCUUAAACCAGCCAGAGAAGCCCUGCCACUCCAAAAGAUUAGCCAUCAAAAUGUCAAGGGACCUGGAAAAUUGGAGAGAGUUGAAGGAAGAGAGGAGCUCCAGGCAGAACCCCCCCCCAACAGCAAAUGAGCAAUGGAACCACCUCAGGACUCCUGCAAUGCCUUCUCCCCAAGGGGUUUCUUCAACAACUCAAAGAGUAACUGCUUGGCACUUAUUAUCAGGGCACCUGGGGAAGAGGAAAUUCAUCUAAGGUGACCUAAUUUUGGACACUCAGAAGAAUGAGAUCUCUAAGACAGUUGAACAAAAGGGUCAAGGCACCCACAUCUGAGCCAUCCCUGAUCUCAGGCCAAUCAAAGUAACACUGCACAUGUUCCAUACUUCAGGGGAACCAUUUCUAGCACAUUCUGCCACCAAGCAAGCUCUGCUCCUCCAGCCCUAUCGCCAAAGCCUAUAGAGUUCAGAAGAUCUUUUCUCCCUGGCAGCCUUAACCAAAUCAUUUUUCCAGCCUUGAAAUUCUUCAGAACACUGUCAGGCUUUGCUAUCACCAACCCACUUUUUCCAGAAUGAAGUUAAGUGCUUAUCACUUAAAAAUUUAAACAGUAAUUGCUUAGUAAUGAAAACUUGAAUUGAUCGGAGAGUAAACUUCUGCUAAGUGACUGGCAGAAUUCCAGCUCCAGUCCAUAAUAAUCAAAAUUCACCAAAAUAGCAUUUUUAAAUGUCUUUAGUUUGAAAACUAUUCUAUACCCAAGCAUGUGAAGGUCUAGAUGCAAGAUAGUAAUUUUAAGUGUUUCCAGGAUUGAGCCAAAAAAACUAAUUCAAUAGUUAAUUGAAUUAACAAUUGCUAAUUUGGGGUUGAAUAAAAUCUCUGUGCUCAUCUUAAAAAUGUCUAAAUUAUUAAAAAUCAUAUUCCUCCUUCCUUUAUUGCACCUGCUUGUUUUGUCAGGUACAUCAAUCCCUCUUAAAAAUGUAUGCCUCAAGAGAAAGACACUCGGUUUCCUCCAAACCUGGUGCUCAGGAUGGAGACUCUUCCAUUCUCACCUUGACAGGCUUUACUAUUGAUUGCCAAAGCUACUGUGUAACCUGAGGAACUUUCCUCACCUUCUAAACCAGCAUUCUGAAUUUUCACAGCUUCAGAAGCAAUACUGCCAGAAAUGAAGCAGCUAAUUCCCUGUAUAUUCUGCUCUUUUACUAUGGGUGCUGGUGGAACUGAGCAAAGAUUUUUAACGCAAUGUUACUUGUGAGACACUGGAUUACACUGGAUAAUGAAAAGGAAAUAAAUGCAAACUGAAUUUUUAGCAUACCAUUAACUAUUCAUUGGAUUGGACUGGAUUCCUCUUCCUAGUUUUCAGAAAUUGCAGAAGAAACAUCCUGAAAAUAUGCAAAGCACCAAUGCUACUCCUUAGCAUCCCUUAAUUGUAUUUAGUCCAUGUUCAAAAUCCCAACCCAUUUCUUUAAGAUCUCCUUCAUGUCACUAGAGCUUUGCAGAGGUUUUGGACAGGGUUUCCAAACACAGACCAAGACAGUUUCUUUUGCUUUUACCUUCAGGGCCACAAUAUGAGAAGCUUCUGGCACUCUGAUGUGCUGUCACUUUUUAAUGCAAACUCUGGAAGUUCACAGACACAACGCUGCACAAUGUGAGGAAGAUAAAUCACAGUUACUUCAAGCCAGUUGACAGCAGUUUAAGCAGCUGCAAUCAUCAACCACCAAGGGAGUUUCUUCUUUUAUCUUACUAAAUGCAAAAGUAUACCAGGAACUGGUAAUAUCACUGGACUAUCAGGAGUCCUGCUUUUACAUAAAUAUCAGCAAGCGACUUCUCAGGCUCAUAGCAAAAUAUUUCUGGCACUGAGUUGAAGAUUCUGUAACAACAUUGGAGGAUUUCUUAGAAAAAAAAAUAUUCUGCUGGAACAUUCGAGAUUGGUUCAAAAACUUUGGAAAUACCUGGUCCAGCAGAGAGAAGACUUCAUGGGCUUCAUCAUUUUAAGUGUCUUGCUUAGGACAGGGAAGAGUGAGAAAACCUAUUUGCUAGGAUUUUGGAAGUAUUUAUGUCCCCUUUCCUCUCCAUGGUAUUUCAUCUUAAUUUAAAAGUGAGGAGUUAAAGAUUGAUAUGGAGCUUGGGAAAAGCAUUCAAGCAGAGGAGCAUGGGGGACAGAGUGAACCCUUUACCCAUAUGGCUUGAGAAAGGCACUGCUUGGCAAUAUAUUUCUGGGAAUGAUAAUAUCAUAGGUAACCUAUUUGCUCUGGAAUCUAAAUCAGGGCACCACACUUAAACCACAUGCAUCUACACUGAAGGUAAAUAUAUUAUGAGAUUCUCAUAAUUCUCAUAAUACACAGGCCCGAAUGGAAUGUAUGAUUUUUCAGAGAUCUGGGUAAAUUCCUCAGUUUUGAUAAUAUAUCAGUCUAUUCAUUGAUCAUGUCCUUUCUAUUUCUUUAGAAAGAAAACCACCACGAACAAUUACUGGCUUUAACACCUUGCAGCUUAUAUAUAGCUUCUCAUAUAAGGAAGAAACACCUUAAGCACACUGGGAAGUUAACACCAAUACAAUUUAUAAAAUGUAGAUAUGUUGGAGCAGAGAAGGUAGGAAAUUAGUUAAAUGUGAGUUUUAAAAAUUAAGAUACUUUCUUCAUCCAGGCUUAUGGAGAACAAACAGAGCUGGUAGAAUAUGUACUUUUAACCAACAGACAAUUUUUCCCCUCUGAAUACAGAAUUGCAGACACAACUUUGCUUCAAGUUGCAAAAAUUGUGGAUGGAAAUAUUGAGGAAUCACAAUUUUUAUCUAAAUAUUAACCACUGGUGUAUUAAUUCCUGUUUUGCAGUCUAAAUGUAGGCAACUGCUUAGUCAGACGUUGAUAUGCACCAAAACAACAUGCAUUAGUUACAGUUAAGCAAGAGUGUGAGCAAAGACUGCUGUGAGUCAGACCCCAGGUCACAGAGCAGUGCAGCUUCUCUGCCCCAGCGAGGUCACAGCCUUUCCAACCAGGGCUGCAGCAGCUCACGGGGCGGCUGUCCCCACUAAAGGGUGCAAGGCACAGUGUGUGACAGAGGGGACAAGCACAGGGCACUAAUAAGCAGUUCAAGUGCAGCUCCUCCAUCAGGACUACAAGCGGAGCCCAUUUGGCUGGAGGAGCCAGGAACACACCCAGACUCUGGUGCAGACACAGCCCAUACCCUGAGCUCACAGAGGGCAGGAUCCCAGGGCACAUCAAUGCCCCUGUAGCCCAGCUCCAGAGAACUCCAACGAGUUCAUGUGCCUGGACAUGGAGCACUGCUCCCUGUGAUCCCAACAGGACUGAGGUGAGGCACGAUCUGCUGGGUACCUGCAUGUUUUGUGUGCAGAAAGAUGACCUGGUAUGGACCACCCAGAGCCCAGUGUGACCCAUGCUGUGAGGGCUGGGAGCUGUGCUGGGGUUCCAGCACAUGGCUCCCAGGCAUGCUGGUCACCCCCACCACUCCUGCUCCACGCAGAAAGAGUUACAGACACACUCACAGGGCUGGCCAUGGGUACCACACUGGGGGCCACAAAACACAAAAGUUCUAACAGCAAGUUAUGUGCAGAGUUCUCACUCUGAUUCUUCUCCUUUCUUUCUCCUUCUCAUUCCAGUAAACUCCAAAAUAACAGGCAAUAACAUUAAUGCUGGCUCCAUCCAAAUGAAUGCACACGGAACAGAGAGAUGCAUCUGUUUAGUGAUUCUGAAGUGAGCUGACUCCUUGCUGUGCCACCAGUUCACCUUGCCUUACUUCAACCUAGUUUAUUUUUGUGGGGUUUUUGUUGAAAUCUGACAUGGGUAACAAAUUAUUUUUAUUAUGUCUAUUUGAGCUACACCAACUCUUUAAAUGCUCACAUCACCUGGAAACUGUAAACAACCUUGUUGCACAUUGUGUAGUCACUGUGGAUUAACCUCUUGAAGGAUGAAGACACAGAAUGGUUUGAAUAAUAGUUCUUGUUCUGUCCUUCUCUGACAGAUGAAUAUGAAUAAGAACUUAUUUUGGCCAAAACAACCAAUUCCAGGUGAAUUUAUGUCCUUAAUGGGAGAUCUGCCAUGACAAACAAGAAGGGUUUGGUACAUUCUAGUCAAAAGUGGAAUAUCUUAAAUCAAAAGUUUCAGUAGCCCUCAAUGUUUGUGCUAACCCUUCUAUUAAAUCUUCAUAACAAUGUGAUAAGCUAGAAUUCGUUGUCUUGUACUUUAUUAAAAAGAGGACAACCUCUAGGAUAAAAUAAUAUUGAGAAAUAAAUUUUACCUUGGAUUAGUUUCAUGUAAACAUAAAAAACUCAACUUCUCAGAACUCAUGUGAAAAACAUAACAUAGUUAAUAUUAAAUACAAAGAUUAUGCAACCUAUUACUUUUACAGUUUGUGCUCCUGUGUCCUUGAAUUUGUCCCUGUUUUGCUUAUGAUUAAUGAAUGACUCACCCUCAGUACCCUCUCAUUUAUUUCAUACCUCAUUAUGAAUCUGAAAUGGUCUAUUUGUUAUUUGAAAACAGCAAAACAAGCAUGGAAGUUAAACAGCAUUCAGAAAUGCAAAUGACAUUUUUGUAAAUAAAUUGCUAUACUAUCACA